rnacentral:lncRNA from 1 species
GAAGGUCAUGGUUCAGAGGCUGCAGAGGGGAGAAGCUGGGAAAUAUUGGGAGAGCACAGGAGGAAGCUGGCACUCAGUGUCUUUGGAAAGCAUUCCUGACCCCCCUCUCCGAGGACCAGGCGUGCAUUGAGAGUAGGAGAACAGAAAGCUCAGAGGCAGGAGGCCCUGAUCAGCCGGUGCAGGGUUGAUGUAGAAUAGGAGGGACAGAGGGGGGUGGGACUUUUCUUGGAGCAACACCAUUGUCUAAGUGAGACCACAUCCCUUCGUCUCUCUCUGUGAAUAUUGAAUAAACUACUUUGGUAAGAACUCUUCUUGUUUAUCUGCCUCUUGGCUGCCAUCGUGGGAGGGAUAGGACUUCCUGAAGCCACACACACACACACACACACACACACACACACUGGCCUCACAAGCUGGCGCCUCUGGCUCUAACUGUUCCCCUACAAAAGAAUUUCACCACCUGCCACUGGAUGUUCCUUGGCCCUUGUGCUAUGGAGUUCCAAAGGGCACCACUUUGUCUCCAAAUGCUGUUUAGCGUCUAUAUAAAGCCAGUGGGAAUGGCCAUUUGGGGGUCUGGAACAUGGUGUCAAUACAUUAAUGACACACAGAGCUAAAUAAUAAUAAUAAUAAUAAUAAUAAUAAUAAUAAUAAUAAUAAUAAAAAAUAAUUUUAUUUAUAUAUUUUUUAAAAUGAUAUUUAUUAAAGUUUCAAAAAAUACAAAAAAAUACAGAAAAAAAGAUAAGUUUUUAAAAUAUAACAAAAGAGUAAAAAAGUAAAAAGAAACAUACAAAAUAAAACAGUUAAAAAGACAUUAAUUUUCCAUAACCUAUCUUCCUUACACUUCUUUCCCCGGACCUCCUCGUACCUCCCUUUUUUGUAUUCCCGUUCAGUUUGUUAAUUCAGCAAAUCCUUACCAUUAAGCUUUUACCCAAUUGUAAACCUUUUUUCAUAUCUCUUAAAGCAUUACAGCUAAAAACCUCUUAGUUUCUAUCCAACAUCCUUCUAAGAUUCCUUAAUUUUACAAUAUUUCUGUAAAUAGUCUUUAAAUUUCUUCCAGUCUUCUUUCACCGAUAAUAAAUUUUAUUUAUAUCCCGCUCUCCCCAGCCGAAGCCGGGCUCAGGGCGGCUAACAACAAUAAAAUAAUACAACAUUCUAAAAUCAUUUCAUUAUAAAAUUAAUUCAAAUCAAAUUGAUGGCAAUCAUUGGGAUAGAGUUCUGUGAAGAUUGCCAAAGGAGGGAGUCAGGCUGUGCCCUGGCCAAAGGCCUGGUGGAACAGCUCUGUCUUGCAGGCCCUGUGGAAAGAGUCCCGCAGGGCCCUAGUCUCUUGUGACAGAGCGUUCCACCAAGUCGGGGCCAGUACUGAAAAGGCCCUGGCUCUAGCUACUUCUCCAUACCUGGACCACUGCCUGAAUAUUGUGUUGGUUUUAUCUUUUACUGUAUCUGUACGCAUUGUUUUAUACCACAUUGAAAUUUUAUACAGGUGAGCAGUAUAUACAUUUUUUUAUAAAAUAAAUGAAUAAAUAAAAUACAGAUUGGGUUCUGUCGAAAGACUGAUGACUGAGGAGGAGGAAGCUAUGGAUCUGUUUUUAUACGGGAUUUCUGGCAGAACCUCCUCAGAAGACUGAGAAAGGGAGUGACAGACCUGUGAAGAUUAACUAGUAGACGGCAAGAGUGUGUUUAUUUAUGGAAGUGAUGAAAAGCGGCAGCCAUCUGAAUAUGACUCUUGGAUGAGUGGAAAAACCCACACAGGACUACAAUUGGUUUCUACUCGCUUGUGGAGACUAUCAGAGGUCACAAAGGAAAAGGGAAAAUAUAUGAAAACAACAAGAAGAGAGGUGGAAAACAACAAGAAAGGAUUGGAUAGAAUUGUGAACAUCAUUUGGACAGAUUUGUGGACAUCAAAGCAGCAGCAACAAGAUGAUUGGAUCCAUUUCGGAACUUGAAAUAUGGGUACCCCCAACAAAAAUUUAAAAUUUGACUUUGUAAUUUGGAAUUAAUGUGAUUUGAUUGGUCUGUUAAUAAAAAUUAUUUUUUAAAAAAUAAAAUAAAAUACAGAUUGGAGUUAAAACACAAAACUUUAGUUUUUCCUCAUAUAGCAGUUAAAUACCCUGUAUUUUCUUUUUAAUCAAAUCUUUUUUUUGUAGACAGGUGAAGAGCAGGGCAAAGUCGAGAUUUUGGCAUAGCGCAUCAGGGUCCAGCAAGGCAAGGCAAAGCAAGGUAAGGCAAGGCAAGGCGGUAGCAUACUGUCACAGUCCGGUCUACAGGUGAUCGAAGUCCUGGCUGAGGACGUUGGGACUGGGGGCAAGAUGGUGGUUUGGGAGCAGGAAUGAGAGUCCAGAAGCCAGGGGUCCAAGGGUCAGGAAGCAGGGAGUCACGAAGUCAAGGGUCCCAGGGUCGAGAAGCAAGGCGUCACGAAGCCGAGGUCCGAGGAUCAGGAAGCAAGAAGCCCAAGGCAGGAAACGUGUUGCUGCGGCAAAGAGGCAGAGGGAAAUGCUGACCUUAUAACCCUUCCCAGCUCUUGCCACCAGGUGCUGUGAGUUACCAAGCGGCCUCACCUGUGAGGCUGCACCUUGCCUCUCCAGAACAAACUUAGGAAGGCCCAGUCCUGCGAAGCCCUACUGGUCACAGGGCCUGGCUCCUGCACGCACUCCUGACACAUAAGGCUAGGCCAGGCAAGACAGGAGAACAGGCUGUGAAUAGCACUUUGGACAGCUCAUGUAGGGAGUUCAAGCUGCCAGAGUCAGAGGCCCCUUGGGCUGGACAGGAACUGAUAAAAUGGGUUUCUUUUGUACUAGACUUGAAACAGUGGCAAUAAGAAGAGUCCUGCUGGAUCCGGCCAAUGGCCCCCCUAGUCCAGCAUCCUGACCUCACAGUGGUGAACCAGAUGCCCUUAGGGAACAUCUGCAGCCAUUACUGAGUCAGGUGCAUCUGCUAGAUCCUUGCUCUUCUCCCUGAAAGAUGGGAGACAGAUCCGAGGGUUGUGAGACAAACGUACGGACAUGCAAGUGAGCUUGAUCACAGGCUUCCCCUGUUUGCCCUCCCUUCAACCCUCCUCCUCUGCCCCUCUGGCAAGUGUGGGGAAAACCUUUUUCACCCAGAGGCCCACAUUCCCUUGGUUGGGGCCAGUGCCCAAAGUGGACUGGACAAUGGAUGGGUCUCUUCUCUAUGCCAGUGUGGUGUAGUGGUUAAGAGCGGUGAACUCGUAAUCUGGUGAACUGGGUUCGCUUCCCCGCUCCUCCACAUGCAGCUGCUGGGUGACCUUGGGCUAGUCACACUUCUCUGAAGUCUCUCAGCCCCACUUACCUCACAGGGUAUCUGUUGUGGGGGAGGAAGGGAAAGGAGAAUGUUAGCCGCUUUGAGACUCCUUCGGGUAGUGAUAAAGCGGGAUAUCAAAUCCAAACUCUUCUUCUCUUCUUCUCUGUUUAGCAGGCUACAUUCCAGCUGGAUGAUCCUUUACUUCCUCCAAAACAUCUCUUCAUUCUUGUUUUUCACACGAGCGAGACAUAUUACCAUACUUCAAGGACACAUCCAAGCCAGCCAAAGGCACUUGAGGAAGAUGGAUGCAAAGGAGUGGCCUUUUCAGCUGUGGUUCCCCAUCUGUCAAAUGUGCUCCCCAGCAAGGUCUGCCUGGUGCCUUCACUGACAUAUUUUGGGCACCAGAUAAAGACUUUUCUUCCCUCCCAA